GAUGAAGAACGUAGCGAAAUGCGAUAAGUAGUGUGAAUUGCAGAAUUCCGUGAAUCAUCGAAUCUUUGAACGCACAUUGCGCCUUCUGGUAUUCCGGAAGGCAUGCCUGCUCGAGAGUCAUUAACAACCGUUUCGAUCCCUUUCUUUCAGAAAUUACAAAGAGGAAAAGGGUUUGGUUAUGGUGGAGGAGGGAAAGGGAGCGUUUAGCCUGUAAAAAAAGAGGCUGUGUUCCGCCUCCCCCCCAAAAUUGUACAGGCGGUCGUGUGCGCCCACGCAUCGAGGUGUUGUAAAAGCUGCCACGGCACUUUUCACCUGUGCAGUGCGAGAUUGGCCAGCCGGUUUAAAAACCCCUCCAAACAAUCAAAGGUUGACCUCGGAUCAGGUAGGGAUACCCGCUGAACUUAAGCAUAUCAAUAAGCGGAGGA
rnacentral:misc_RNA from 1 species